rnacentral:rRNA from 2 species
GGACUACUCGGGUAUCUAAUCCUGUUUGAUCCCCACGCUUUCGUGCAUCAGCGUCAAUAAUCGCUUAGAUAGCUGCCUUCGCAAUCGGAGUUCUGAGACAUAUCUAUGCAUUUCACCGCUACUUGUCUCAUUCCGCCAUCUUCAACGAUAUUCAAGCAAUUCAGUAUCAAAGGCACUGCGACAGUUGAGCUGCCGUCUUUCACCUCUGACUUAAAAUGCCGCCUACGCACCCUUUAAACCCAAUAAAUCCGGAUAACGCUCGGAUCCUCCGUAUUACCGCGGCUGCUGGCAC